UCGACUCUCUUUUUAUGUAUUAUUUCAAACACUUAUCAUAUCUCUUUUCACGCUAUAUGUUGCUGUAUAUAGAUUAUUUUUGUCUUAUAUUAUGAUAAAUGUGCAACUCUUAAAGAGUUCAUGGAGAAAUCAACGGCCACUUCCUUUAAGGUGUUUCGGUAUGAGUUGCACACAGUGGUGGAUCCAGCAUUCGGUGAGCACCGGCGACCGUGCUUUCUAAUCCGUUGGGAACAAAAUUUUUUGUUAAAUAUAGAUAAAAUUUUUUGGUUAUAUAUCUAGUAAUUCAUUUUAUUAGAAGUCAUUGGAUCGUGUCUCUUCCAAAAAAAAUUAUUUGCAAGUUUUCUAGUUCUACAAUUUUUAACAAAAUUAAUGCGAUCGGGAGGGGAUUCAAACCUUUGAACCCUCUUUAAAAUUAUUGAAAGCUUGACCAUUAUGGCACUCAUUGAAUUUUAAUACUAAAUGUAACAAAAUAAUAUAUGUUUCAAGUUUAGUGGUUUUAAUGCCAUUAGAAAGAUUCGAACCAGUGCUCUUCAUUUGAAUUAUACAAAAUUUGGCCACUAUAUCAAGUGGUGAAUAUUAUUAAUAUAUCUGACAUAAUUAAUAUAUAUUCAAUUUUAGCAAAAUAACUGUUAUAUUUAAUUUUUAAUAUUUUAUUGCGGCCAACGAUCAACGGUCAAUGGCCACCCGUGCUCACUCAAAAUCUUGCAUCCGUCACUGGCUGUACAUGCAUUAAAAUGAGUAUUUAGACCAACCAAUGGCUCACGGGAAAGCAAAUAAGCCUAAAGAAGUUCGCGACCAGGCUGAUUGGGAUUGUUUGUGUGACUAUUAGGAAAGUGAAUAGUUUUAGGUGCAUUUAUGUACAUUUUCACUUGCAUUUAUGUUCUUUUGUUACCUUAUUUAGGCUAUUGACUAUUUUCAAUUUUAUUUAACUGUACAUCAUAGGAAAGAUCCAAGGUUGCAGUUGAAAAUAGAUCGCAAUGAGAGUUUACCUAUUUUUUUGGUUCUAGAUUCUUUAUUCGAUAUCAAGCUAUAGAGGUAUAUAAGAAGUUAAAAAUAUCCAUUUAUGUUGGGAAAUAAUUUCAAUUCAAUUAAAUCUUAUUCUUCUUAAAAUAGGAUAAUAGAAUUGGACGACCAGACAUAAUUCAAUUAUGGAAAAACACACAUUAUGAGGAUAUUAAAUGCUAGAUCCAUCCGUGUGGUUGAGAAAUAUGUAAUGAACAAAUAUUUAUGUAUUUACUUUAACUUUAUUAUUACUAGAAUAAAUAUUUUACCGUCAUAUUUGUAUUAAUAAUUUUCUAUUGUCAUGCAGAAGGAGAUAAUAGACAUACAAAUCACAUAAGAGGCACAUGUUGAGGAAGGAGAGUGAGAGUCAAGGAGUAUAGCUCACUGCUGAUGAAAUCGCGACUCAAGUCCUUGGCACUAUUUCUUGCUACUUUAGGGGAUUGGGUAGGGGCCCAAAGAUUCCACGUGCUACAUCUCGCAUGAACACAACACAACACAACAAGAGAAUGCUAAACUUCGCCAAGUCAUGCAUAACUUGUAGAGCUGGAAUGAGCGUAUCCUCGCCUUUUGAGAGGAGAUAAUGAUAGGUGUUACUGCAAGAAUCCUUGGCACUAUUUCUUGCUACUAUAGGGGAUUGGGUAGGGGCCCAAAGAUUCCACGUGCUACAUUUAGCACGAACACAACACAACAAGAGAAUGCUAAACUUCGCCAAGCCAUGCAUAACUUGUAGAGCUGGAAUGAGCGUAUUCUCGCCUUUUGAGAGGAGAUAAUGCCAGAUGUUAUUGCUAGAAUCCUUGGCACUAUUUCUUGCUACUAUAGGGGAUUGGGUAGGGGCCCAAAGAUUCCACGUGCUACAUCUCUCAUGAACACAAUAAGAGAAUGCUAAACUUCGCCAAGUCAUGCAUAACUUGUAGAGUUGGAAUGAGCGUAUUCUCGCCUUUUGAGAGGAGAUAAUGCCGGGUGUUACUGCAAGAAUAUCAGCCCAAGAGUGCCCACUACUCAUCCAUCAACAUCACUUGAUCAUGAGUCACAUGAUGAUCAUUAAUUUAAAGUUCUUCAUUGCAUUUACAUGUUUUUAAAUCUUUAUGGUUGAUACUCUAUUAUUGCAUAUGCUACUAUUUUUUACUACACUAGUCUUCUCAUUUUUGGAUCUUGACUAGGUUUUUUUAUUGCCUGUUAUUAUUUUGGACUACACCUGCAAAUAUAGUUACUCAUAUUUUGGAAUUAGAAGUGAAUUAUAAAGGUACAAUAUAUUAUUUUACCUUGUACAGAUGGUUUGUUGGCUUUUGAAUUAUG
rnacentral:lncRNA from 1 species